UCAACUGAGACCUACACAGUAAUUGGAGUACAAGCAUUCUAAGUUUGUUAAUCUGAUUAUUGAAGGGGAACCGAUGGUCCGACCAUUAGAAUGUGCAAGGCGUUACUUCCAGUAAAUGAAGAACAUUUGACUGAUGAAGCCAUAUGGGAGUCACUUCCUGUAAAGCAUGAUCACACAGUCAUCACUAAUGACCUUUCAGCAUCGAAAAACAUCAAAUCCAAAAAUCUAAUGUUUUC